GAUGAACGCUGGCGGCGUGCUUAACACAUGCAAGUCGAACGGAAAGGCCUCUGCUUGCAGGGGUACUCGAGUGGCGAACGGGUGAGUAACACGUGGGUGAUCUGCCCUGCACUUCGGGAUAAGCCUGGGAAACUGGGUCUAAUACCGGAUAGGACGAUGGUUUGGAUGCCAUUGUGGAAAGUUUUUCGGUGUGGGAUGAGCCCGCGGCCUAUCAGCUUGUUGGUGGGGUAAUGGCCUACCAAGGCGUCGACGGGUAGCCGGCCUGAGAGGGUGUACGGCCACAUUGGGACUGAGAUACGGCCCAGACUCCUACGGGAGGCAGCAGUGGGGAAUAUUGCACAAUGGGCGCAAGCCUGAUGCAGCGACGCCGCGUGGGGGAUGACGGCCUUCGGGUUGUAAACUCCUUUCGCUAGGGACGAAGCGCAAGUGACGGUACCUGGAGAAGAAGCACCGGCUAACUACGUGCCAGCAGCCGCGGUAAUACGUGGGGUGCGAGCGUUGUCCGGAAUUACUGGGCGUAAAGAGCUCGUAGGUGGUUUGUCGCGUCGUUUGUGUAAGCCCGCAGCUUAACUGCGGGACUGCAGGCGAUACGGGCAUAACUUGAGUGCUGUAGGGGAGACUGGAAUUCCUGGUGUAGCGGUGGAAUGCGCAGAUAUCAGGAGGAACACCGAUGGCGAAGGCAGGUCUCUGGGCAGUAACUGACGCUGAUGUGCGAAAGCGUGGGGAUCAAACAGGAUUAGAUACCCUGGUAGUCCACGCCGUAAACGAUGAGUGCUAAGUGUUAGGGGGUUUCCGCCCCUUAGUGCUGCAGCUAACGCAUUAAGCACUCCGCCUGGGGAGUACGACCGCAAGGUUGAAACUCAAAGGAAUUGACGGGGACCCGCACAAGCGGUGGAGCAUGUGGUUUAAUUCGAAGCAACGCGAAGAACCCUACCAAAUCUUGACAUCCUCUGACCCCUCUAGAGAUAGAGUUUUCCCCUUCGGGGGACAGAGUGACAGGUGGUGCAUGGUUGUCGUCAGCUCGUGUCGUGAGAUGUUGGGUUAAGUCCCGCAACGAGCGCAACCCUUAAGCUUAGUUGCCAUCAUUAAGUUGGGCACUCUAAGUUGACUGCCGGUGACAAACCGGAGGAAGGUGGGGAUGACGUCAAAUCAUCAUGCCCCUUAUGAUUUGGGCUACACACGUGCUACAAUGGACAAUACAAAGGGUAGCGAAACCGCGAGGUCAAGCAAAUCCCAUAAAGUUGUUCUCAGUUCGGAUUGUAGUCUGCAACUCGACUAUAUGAAGCUGGAAUCGCUAGUAAUCGUAGAUCAGCAUGCUACGGUGAAUACGUUCCCGGGUCU
rnacentral:rRNA from 1 species